rnacentral:rRNA from 1 species
ACACUCCUGCGGGAGGCAGCAGUGGGGAAUAUUGGACAAUGGGCGCAAGCCUGAUCCAGCCAUGCCGCGUGAGUGAUGAAGGCCCUAGGGUUGUAAAACUCUUUCACCGGUGAAGAUAAUGACGGUAACCGGAGAAGAAGCCCCGGCUAACUUCGUGCCAGCAGCCGCGGUAAUACGAAGGGGGCUAGCGUUGUUCGGAUUUACUGGGCGUAAAGCGCACGUAGGCGGACUAUUAAGUCAGGGGUGAAAUCCCGGGGCUCAACCCCGGAACUGCCUUUGAUACUGGUAGUCUUGAGUUCGAGAGAGGUGAGUGGAAUUCCGAGUGUAGAGGUGAAAUUCGUAGAUAUUCGGAGGAACACCAGUGGCGAAGGCGGCUCACUGGCUCGAUACUGACGCUGAGGUGCGAAAGCGUGGGGAGCAAACAGGAUUAGAAACCCCUGUAGUCCCAUGAU